rnacentral:lncRNA from 1 species
AGGGCAUGAACAGCAGUUUGGAGGGCUGAGCUGCAGCACUUAUGGUCAUCUGGUGCCUUUUGUGUUGGGCUGUCCAUCUGCAAGGCAGAGGGGAGGGAAGAAAGGAGCAGCCUCCUGCCCUGCUUCCCUGUGCUGCUCUCCCCUGCAAAGCCCUGCUCACCAUGUUGCUGGUCUACCGGUCAUUGCCAUGGCCAUGUGGGGCUGCCUGUGUCCCCAAGGCUGUCUGGAAGGGUCCACUGCAAUCAGCAUGUCUGAUGCCAGCUCCUACAGUGGGGUCCCGGCUCAGGGAAGCAGCAGCAAACAUUGGGGUAGGGCAGGGGGUCCUUGGGGAGC